rnacentral:rRNA from 1 species
UAGUCCACGCCGUAAACGAUGGACACUUGGUGUUGGAGGUAUUGACCCCUUCAGUGCCGUAGCUAACGCGUUAAGUGUCCCGCCUGGGGAGUACGGUCGCAAGAUUAAAACUCAAAGAAAUUGACGGGGGCCCGCACAAGCGGUGGAGCAUGUGGUUUAAUUCGAUGCAACGCGAAGAACCUUACCUGGGUUUGACAUCUAGAGGAAGACUCACAGAGAUGUGGUCGCCUUCGGGCUUCUAGACAGGUGCUGCAUGGCUGUCGUCAGCUCGUGUCGUGAGAUGUUGGGUUAAGUCCCGCAACGAGCGCAACCCUUACCUUUAGUUGCCAGCAUUUAGUUGGGCACUCUAGAGGGACUGCCGACGUUAAGUCGGAGGAAGGUGGGGAUGACGUCAAGUCCUCAUGGCCUUUAUAUCCAGGGCUACACACGUGCUACAAUGGUUUAUACAGAGGGAAGCAAGACCGCGAGGUGGAGCAAAUCCCAGAAAGUAAAUCUAAGUUCGGAUUGGAGUCUGCAACUCG